GCCGGGCGAGUGGCGUGCGCCUGUAAAUCCAAGUUGCUGCGGAGGCUUAGGAUGGCGGAUUCGUUUGAAGCUCAGGAGUCAGCUCCGUGGACUAUCCGAUCGGUUGGUCCGCCACUUAAGUUCGUAUAGAUAUGGUGCUCCUGGGGAGCCCUGGACCACCAGGUCGUACUAAGGAGGGGUGGGCACCAGGCCCAGGGUCGGGACAAGGAAGCAGGCCAAAGCCCCGGCCGCCUCGUAGUGGGAUCGCGCCUGUGAAUAGACGCUUUGUGAGUGCAGCUGAGCAAUGACAGCGGGACCACAGUCUAAU
rnacentral:SRP_RNA from 1 species